rnacentral:rRNA from 1 species
AAUGAACGCUGGCGGCAGGCCUAACACAUGCAAGUCGAACGGAUCCUUCGGGAUUAGUGGCGGACGGGUGAGUAACGCGUGGGAACAUACCCUUUGGUACGGAAUAGCCUCGGGAAACUGGGAGUAAUACCGUAUGUGGUCGAGAGACGAAAGAUUUAUCGCCAAAGGAUUGGCCCGCGUUGGAUUAGGUAGUUGGUGGGGUAAUGGCCUACCAAGCCGACGAUCCAUAGCUGGGUUGAGAGGAUGAUCAGACACACUGGGACUGAGACACGGCCCAGACUCCUACGGGAGGCAGCAGUGGGGAAUCGUAGACAAUGGGGGAAACCCUGAUCUAGCCAUGCCGCGUGAUCGAUGAAGGCCUUAGGGUUGUAAAGAUCUUUCAGGUGGGAAGAUAAUGACUGUACCACCAGAAGAAGCCCCGGCUAACUCCGUGCCAGCCGCCGCAGUAA